rnacentral:lncRNA from 1 species
CCUGAGCGCGGGGCGCCCGCGCGGCCAGUAAUCCCAGCGACUCGGGAGGCUGGGGCAGGAGAUCGCAAGUUCGAGGCCAACAAGGAGACCCUGUCUCAAAAUAAAACAUUAAGGGGGCUGGGGAUGGUCCUUAGCGGUAUGGAGCCCCUGGUUUCAAUCCUCUGUAUUCCGUACCCCCAAAAGAAGAGAGAAAGAAGGGCCCCUGAACGACCCGCCCAGAGCGGAGGCGGGAGCGGCAGCGGAGUGUGCUCAAUGCUGUUGCCCUUGGCGUCCAGACCCUUCGCGGACACUGCGAAUCCCAGAAUCCCAGGGAGAGAGAGGGCUUGUUCACAUCACUCCCGAAAGACGCACGAAGGCGACAUUCUGGAAUUAGGUUCAUGAAACAUCUGGAAGCCUCUAGACCUUAGUGUGUGACCCUGAUGGUGCUAAUACUGUGCUAAACUGAUUUUUUCUUUAAUUUUUUUUUUUUUUGUAUUGGAGAUUGACCCCAGGGGUGCUUUAUUAUUGAGCUACAUCCCCAGCCCUUUUUAAAAUUUUGAGACAGGGCAUCACUAAAUUGCUUAGAGCCUCGCUAAGUUGUUGAGGCUAACCUUGAACUUGCCAUCCUCCUGCCUCAGCCUCCUGAUUUGCUAGGAUUCCCAGCAUGCAGCACCGUGCCCAGUGCUAUAUUGAUCUUGGGGAAUUACUUAUCCCUAAGCAUCUGUUUCCCCAUCUGAUCAGUACAGAACUUGAGACUGUAUAGAGGAUUAAUUGGAAUAAUGCAGAUAGUUAAUAAAUGUUUAUUUUUUCUCCCGAACCCUGGGGUACCUUACCACUGAGCCACAUCCCCCAUCCUUUUGAUUUUAUUUGAGGCAGGGUCUCACUAAGUUGCCCAGGCUGACAACUUGCUACUCCUGCCUCAAUCUUAGACAGGCACCACCACACCUCACUCUGCUAACUUCUUGACCAGGCCACAUCCUAAAGGGAAGGCUCAAAUUCUACUUCCUAGUCCAGUGUGGUUGGCACAGCUGCAAUCCCAGUUCCCAGAGAGGCUGAGGCAGAAGGAUCACAAGUUUGAGGUCAGCCUGGGCAAAUUAGUGAGAUUCUGUCUCAAAAAUAAUACAGAGGGCUGGGGUUGUGGCUCAGUGGUAGAGUGAUCGCCUAGUAUGUGUGAGGCACUGGGGUUCAGAUUCUCAGCACCACAUAUUAAUUAAUUAAAUAAAGGUCUAUGGACAACCAAACAAAUUUUUUAAAAAAUAA